UACGUAGGGUGCGAGCGUUGUCCGGAAUUAUUGGGCGUAAAGAGCUCGUAGGCGGUUUGUCGCGUCUGCUGUGAAAUCUGGAGGCUCAACCUCCAGCCUGCAGUGGGUACGGGCAGACUAGAGUGCGGUAGGGGAGAUUGGAACUCCUGGUGUAGCGGUGGAAUGCGCAGAUAUCAGGAAGAACACCGAUGGCGAAGGCAGAUCUCUGGGCCGUAACUGACGCUGAGGAGCGAAAGCAUGGGGAGCGAACAGG
rnacentral:rRNA from 1 species